GGCCUCAAAUGAUGGAGAGAUGACUUUGGGAGGACAGUGACCAAACUGGGUCGUAUUCGUACUGUCUGAUGGGGUC
ensembl:snoRNA